AGUGAACGCUGGCGGUAGGCCUAACACAUGCAAGUCGAACGGCAGCACAGUAAGAGCUUGCUCUUACGGGUGGCGAGUGGCGGACGGGUGAGGAAUACAUCGGAAUCUACUUUUUCGUGGGGGAUAACGUAGGGAAACUUACGCUAAUACCGCAUACGACCUACGGGUGAAAGCAGGGGAUCUUCGGACCUUGCGCGAUUGAAUGAGCCGAUGUCGGAUUAGCUAGUUGGCAGGGGUAAAGGCCCACCAAGGCGACGAUCCGUAGCUGGUCUGAGAGGAUGAUCAGCCACACUGGAACUGAGACACGGUCCAGACUCCUACGGGAGGCAGCAGUGGGGAAUAUUGGACAAUGGGCGCAAGCCUGAUCCAGCCAUACCGCGUGGGUGAAGAAGGCCUUCGGGUUGUAAAGCCCUUUUGUUGGGAAAGAAAAGCAGCAGGUUAAUACCCCGCUGUUCUGACGGUACCCAAAGAAUAAGCACCGGCUAACUUCGUG
rnacentral:rRNA from 1 species